UUGAACGCUGGCGGCAUGCCUUACACAUGCAAGUCGAACGGCAGCGCGGGGCAACCUGGCGGCGAGUGGCGAACGGGUGAGUAAUAUAUCGGAACGUACCCUGGAGUGGGGGAUAACGUAGCGAAAGUUACGCUAAUACCGCAUACGAUCUAAGGAUGAAAGUGGGGGAUUCGCAAGAACCUCAUGCUCCUGGAGCGGCCGAUAUCUGAUUAGCUAGUUGGUAGGGUAAAAGCCUACCAAGGCAUCGAUCAGUAGCUGGUCUGAGAGGACGAUCAGCCACACUGGAACUGAGACACGGUCCAGACUCCUACGGGAGGCAGCAGUGGGGAAUUUUGGACAAUGGGCGCAAGCCUGAUCCAGCAAUGCCGCGUGAGUGAAGAAGGCCUUCGGGUUGUAAAGCUCUUUUGUCAGGGAAGAAACGGGAUUGGCUAAUAUCUGAUUCUAAUGACGGUACCUGAAGAAUAAGCACCGGCUAACUACGU
rnacentral:rRNA from 1 species